CUACGAAACGUGAGAGAGAAACUGGUUCGCUGCAUAACGCAAAGAAGAGUAUCUUUCAAAAGCGAUGGGCUGCGUGGGAGCGCUCCCAGCAAAAUCAACCGCAGCUUUCGACUUCAGAUACGCAAGCGCGUCCAGUUAGGUCAGUUCUGACCGAAUAAGUAGCUGGGACCGAUCAAUUGGAACCGAUGGGUACAAAAUGUCCCUUCGCCCAGCCCGGUUAUGACCGAACCAGUAGCUCGAACCGAUCAACCGAAACCGAUAAGUAUGUUGUAUGCUUUGAUUUAGUAAUGAGGCUGUGCUAAUUAUUUUUUACAAUUAAAGAUACCCGUUCACCAGUUUCGAGUGGUCCAGAGAGUGAUGGGGAGACGUAGUCGGCAUACAGCAGCGCUGACGAAACCGAUGUGCUUGACGACGGUAUCGUGCAGGACGAGGGUUUGGAGCCGCUAAUUCCCUACGCCGGAGUUUCGAUGGAGGACGGUCUUGGGCAUUC